rnacentral:Y_RNA from 1 species
UUCUGGUCCAAGUAAGUGGUAUUUACAACUAAUUGAUCACAAUCAGUUACUGAUUUCUUUGUUCCUUCUCCAUUCCCACUGUUUCACUUGACUAGCCUUAA